rnacentral:lncRNA from 1 species
AUAACUAACUGAGUUUCUCAUUCACUAACCAACUGAGUUUUCAGCUUACUCAGUGAGUCAGGCCCAACUAACUCCUAACCAUAUCUAACUAACUCCAAACCUAAAUCCAAAGCUGCCAAAGUUCUAAGCCUCACCUCCAUUUAAGAGAUUCAUCACUCACAUUUUUAGAACCCUUGGAUUUUGCUUGAACCUGCACUCUCUCUCUAUUGCAAUCUCUUCCCUCACCC